CGUGUAGGCGGUGCGGUAAGUUGGGCGUGAAAUCCCCGAGCUUAACUCGGGUGGGCCGUUCAAGACUGCCGUGCUAGGGUGCGGGAGGGGGAAGUGGAAUUUCCGGUGUAGCGGUGAAAUGCGUAGAUAUCGGGAGGAACACCUGCGGCGAAGGCGGCUUCCUGGACCGUAACCGACGCUGAGGCGCGAAAGCUAGGGGAGCAAACAGGAUUAGAUACCCUGGUAGUCCUAGCCCUAAACGAUGAGCACUGGGUGUGGCCCCUCACGAGGCCGUGCCGAAGCUAACGCAUUAAGUGCUCCGCCUGGGGAGUACGGUCGCAAGGCUGAA
rnacentral:rRNA from 1 species